rnacentral:rRNA from 1 species
UACGUAGGGUGCAAGCGUUGUCCGGAAUUACUGGGCGUAAAGGGCUCGUAGGUGGCCAACUAAGUCAGACGUGAAAUCCCUCGGCUUAACCGGGGAACUGCGUCUGAUACUGGAUGGCUUGAGUUUGGGAGAGGGACGCGGAAUUCCUGGUGUAGCGGUGAAAUGCGCAGAUAUCAGGAGGAACACCGGUGGCGAAGGCGGGUCUCUGGGCCGUAACUGACGCUGAGGAGCGAAAGCAUGGGGAGCGAACAGG